UGGGGAAUAUUGCACAAUGGGCGCAAGCCUGAUGCAGCCAUGCCGCGUGUAUGAAGAAGGCCUUCGGGUUGUAAAGUACUUUCAGCGGGGAGGAAGGGAGUAAAGUUAAUACCUUUGCUCAUUGACGUUACCCGCAGAAGAAGCACCGGCUAACUCCGUGCCAGCAGCCGCGGUAAUACGGAGGGUGCAAGCGUUAAUCGGAAUUACUGGGCGUAAAGCGCACGCAGGCGGUUUGUUAAGUCAGAUGUGAAAUCCCCGGGCUCAACCUGGGAACUGCAUCUGAUACUGGCAAGCUUGAGUCUCGUAGAGGGGGGUAGAAUUCCAGCUGUAGCGGUAAAAUGCGUAGAAAUCUGGAGGAAUACCGGUGGCGAAGGCGGCCCCCUGGACGAAGACUGACGCUCAGGUGCGAAAGCGUGGGGAGCAAACAGG
rnacentral:rRNA from 1 species